rnacentral:sRNA from 1 species
UGAAGACGGGGGCCUCCAGCCAUCAACGCUAUCGUUUGCAAUGGGAAGACUGUGUCUCCCUGCGGUCCCUCAGCCGGCUAGCCCCCAGCUGGGGAAUACAAAAGGCGAGAUCUGGAACCCAUCCUUUGGCUGGGAGGGCGAGAUCCGGUAGGGGGCAGUGGCCAGGAGAGCUCAAAGGAUGGCUACUGACAUGCAGAGGAAGAGAAGCAGCGAAUGCCUUGAUGGCACAUUGACUCCUUCUGAUGGACAGAGUAUGGAGAGAGCUGAGAGCCCCACACCAGGAAUGGCCCAGGGAAUGGAGCCAGGUGCGGGGCAGGAGGGUGCCAUGUUCGUCCAUGCCCGUUCCUACGAGGACCUGACUGAGUCAGAGGAUGGGGCAGCUUCUGGGGACAGCCACAAGGAGGGUACCAGGGGUCCCCCGCCGCUGCCUACAGACAUGCGCCAGAUCAGCCAGGACUUUAGCGAGCUAAGCACCCAGCUGACGGGUGUGGCCCGGGACCUGCAGGAGGAGAUGCUGCCAGGAAGCUCUGAGGAUUGGCUGGAACCCCCAGGGGCAGUUGGGCGACCAGCCACAGAGCCCCCCAGGGAGGGCACAACCGAGGGGGAUGAGGAGGAUGCCACGGAGGCAUGGCGCCUGCACCAGAAGCAUGUCUUUGUGCUGAGUGAGGCAGGGAAGCCUGUGUACUCCCGCUAUGGGUCUGAGGAGGCACUUUCCAGCACUAUGGGUGUUAUGGUGGCCCUGGUGUCCUUCCUGGAGGCAGACAAGAACGCCAUCCGCUCCAUCC